rnacentral:rRNA from 1 species
GACGAACCGUGCGAACGUUAUUCGGAUUCACUGGGCUUAAAGGGCGCGUAGGCGGCCGAGCAAGUCCGGGGUGAAAUCUUUCGGCUCAACCGGAAAAGUGCCUUGGAUACUGCUCGCCUUGAGUGAGGUAGGGGCAUGUGGAACUUCCGGUGGAGCGGUGAAAUGCGUUGAUAUCGGAAGGAACGCCGGUGGCGAAAGCGACGUGCUGGCCCUCAACUGACGCUGAGGCGCGAAAGCCAGGGGAGCAAACGGG